AUGUACUUUUGCACCUGUGCUUGUACUUGUGCACUUGGACACUUGUGUAGUUGUGCAUGUAUGUACUUGUACAUGUGCACUUAUGCCUGUAUACCUAUACACUUGUGCAUGUGUAGAAUGUCUUUGUGCAUGUAUUUACUUGUGCAUGUGCACUUGUGCACUCAUGAAUGUGCAUGUAUGUACUUGUGCACUUGUGCACUCAUGAAUGUGCAUGUAUGUACUUGUGCACUUGUGCAUGUAUGUACUUGUGCACUCGUGCAUGCAUGGCCUGAUGGUCUUUUGAUUGGCUCAUUUUCAGAUGGACAAUUCCGUGACACUCAUGUGAAAAUGGGACAGCAGCCCAAACCAGGAUCACACAGGGUGCAGCAGUCGUCUGUGUUAGAAACACACACACGCUGUGUUACAGUGCUUCAGAUCCAGCAGAAUCUCCUCCACAUUCUGAGUCUGUUCUACAGAAACACACGAGGCUGAUGUCUGCGGAUGCUGCUGCUUCGAGAGCUCAGUUCAUCACAAGCAAAUAUAUGUACUGUAUGUGUGAUGGAGUAACCUUUCUUAUCAUUAGCACAGCCUGCAUUUGCUCUCUUUUAUUCUCUUUCACAUGUGCUGGAGGUUUGUCGUCUCAUAAUAAACUCAGAGUUGCAGGGAACACAGACUCAUGAAGGCUUUGAUUUGCUCUAUUCUCUGCCGCUGGCCGACAGUAUUUACCUGCCCGCGCUGCCCUGUUUGAUCCCCACAAAUUCAAUAAUUACUUUGCUGGAAUGCGAGCCAAUACAAGACCAAUAUUUGAGCACAAAUAUUCCUCUAAUUGUGUUUUCCGUGCCUGUGAGUUUCCGCUCAGUAAAUCCAUAAAUACGCAAAAGCAAAACUGAGCAAAUCAAAAUAAACUGCGUUUGCCACAGAGUGCCCAACGAGAACAAUAUGAAACGGGAAAUGUUUGUUGGAUUAACAAAUAAACCUGCUCAUUCUGGACCUGCUUAGUGAACACACACUGUCACAAUAAAACCAGAG
ensembl:lncRNA